GCAUAAUAUGAAAUGCACAAGGUCUUUGGAGAUUAGACUAAAUCGUUAUAGAAUAAUUUUUAAAGGGGUAGAGAAGCCAAGACAUAUUCCCCCGAUGGAGGCUGGACACUGGUGAUGGUGGAGAGGGAACACAGAGACCGAAC